rnacentral:lncRNA from 1 species
GCCGGAAAUGCCAGGGAGGACCUUUUGCACAAUUGGCCAUCAGCUUGGUUCUGAAAAUGCGUUCUCGGCAUUUUCCACAGGACACGCUUUGAAGCGAGUGGAUGCACAGAGCUUUGAGAGGCGUGGUUAUCACCACCGACCUCACUGCCUCUUGCUCUUAUAUUAUGUCACUUCCUGUCCCAGUGCCUGAAGUUCAGGCCUCUCACGCAGCGUAGGAGAAAGAUGUCCGCUUUUUACUUCCGGAGAAGUAAACUUUAAAGAGGAUGUCCCUGCCUUGAGUCCCCAGGCCUCUCACGUGAAGAAGAAUCCCUCAUACACAGAGCACAGGAUGCCUGUGUUUUCCCUCCCCACCGUCCUUUCCUGCUGGUCUCGGCUCCCGGUUUACCGGGAGUUCUUCAGACCUCCGUGUGUGGCGUCAGGGAGCGCGCACAGAGCUGUUAAUGCAGAACAAAAUGGCCGCCUCUUAGGGUUUGUGGAGCCCGAUGAGGGAAUUACUGCCAGUUUAUACUCUGGGCCCUCACACAUGUCUUUCGUUCCGACAGCUCCAGUGGUUUUUAUUCCAACUGAUCUGCAACCCAUCCCGAAAUUGUUUCAGUAAGGCUCGCUCGGUCGUUCUGUCGGCAACAUUGCAAACUGCACGCCUGGGGGUGAGUGGAAGGGCUGCUCUGGUCUUUGAACUGGAAUGGAAGCCGGCUGUCACCUUGAGCCUCAACUCCCUUGUUUAUGCAGCUCUGUCAGAACUUUCCACCAGGACUCAGACCCCAUCCCUGGCCAUCCAGUCAUGGUAGGGAGGGCAGGUAUGUACAUUGUUAAAGAAAACAUGUAGCUUUGCGUUUUUAAAGAAGAGACACAUUAAAAAAUCAUACUCAGGGCGCCUGGGGGGCUCAGUCAGUUAAGCGUCUGACUUUGGCUCAGGUCAUGAUCUCGCAGUUUGCGGGUUCGAGCCCCGCGUCGGGCUCUGUGCUGACAGCUCGGAGCCUGGAGCCUGCUUCGGAUUCUGUGUCUCCCUCUCUCUCUGCUCCUCCCCUGCUCAAGCUCUGUUCUCUCUCUCUCUCAAAAACAAACUAAAAAAAUCAUACUCAAGUGUGGCUACAUUAUAAUUCCAAGCACAUUUCAGAAAGCCAUCUCUAUAGAGAAUAUUUUCCCACAAACAUGAUCAUUGCUAAUAAGAAUAUUUGACAUUGGUUAGAAAUACCAGGAGCUCUGGCUUUAAGGGGCAAUUUCUAAGGUUUAUGAAA